rnacentral:lncRNA from 1 species
GAGGACUCUGCUUCCUCAGCCUCCAGUGACUCUGAGGAUGAAGGUGAGUCGUCCCAGGAGUCACCACUUGGACGCAGUGUCUCCAGGAAGAGGUGUUACUGUAGUGAUUUUACAGUCAGGUACGUAGACACCUCUGAGGAACCUGCAUUGUCCGACUGUCAGUGUGAGCCUGGGACGAAGAGGCCGAGACGGGACGACAGCUCUGACUCAUCUUAGUCAUCUGUGCUUUUCCUUUUCCUGCUCCACUCCAUCUAUGAGCAGAGUUCCCUGUUUUUAUCCGGCUUCCACAGCUCGUCCUUGCGUCUGGCGGGAUUAGCUCAGCUUUUGUCCAUGUGUGUGUGUCCAGUGCGUCUUGCACCUGGGCUCUUUUGUAAAUAGUUGUUUUGAGGUAAGUUGGCCUUUGCGUCUUGCAGGGAGCGACUGGUACCGGGACUUUUUUAAAUGGUAAGGAUUUAUUUGAUGUUUCUUUAUGACGGACCACAGCCGGAGUGAUUGUCCUGUCACUGUUUUAAAACAUGCAUGAUAGAUUAGGUUUAGUUAGGUUAGAGUUAAGAAUUAGAGUUAACCUUUUUAAUCCCAGCAAGUGAGGACAGGAGGCGACAUCAGCAGAGGACAGAGACCAAAGAAGACUUCUUUAUCAACCAAAACAAUGUGCACCAGCAUCCACAGCAGUAGUCCCAUAAGUAGUCUGAGGAGGAAACAUCAGCAGAAAGCAAAACAAUCAAUGUAAGUAAAGCCUCUCAUUGACACAGAACGACACUGAACUAAUGUUUGAUGUAAAAAUAGACGUGACUUUAUACUAAUGCCUGUAAAAUGUUGGACUGGAACAACGGCAUCCGCUGAUGGAGGAGGAGGAUGAAGAUGGAGGACAGGAGCACCAGCAUCCACAGCAGCUUGAGGAGGAAACAUCAGCAGAGGACAGAAAGACUUCUAUUAACCAAAAAACAAUACAGGAGUGCUAG